AUUGAACGCUGGCGGCAUGCCUUACACAUGCAAGUCGAACGGCAGUACGGGUGCUUGCACCUGGUGGCGAGUGGCGAACGGGUGAGUAAUAUAUCGGAACGUACCUUAUUGUGGGGGAUAACGCAGCGGAAGCUGUGCUAAUACCGCAUAAUCCCUAAGGGGGAAAGCGGGGGACCGUAAGGCCUCGCGCAAUUAGAGCGGCCGAUACCUGAUUAGCUAGUUGGUGAGGUAAAGGCUCACCAAGGCAACGAUCAGUAGCUGGUCUGAGAGGACGAUCAGCCACACUGGGACUGAGACACGGCCCAGACUCCUACGGGAGGCAGCAGUGGGGAAUUUUGGACAAUGGGGGCAACCCUGAUCCAGCAAUGCCGCGUGAGUGAAGAAGGCCUUCGGGUUGUAAAGCUCUUUUGUCAGGGAAGAAACAGCAGCUCUAACACAGUUUGCGAAUGACGGUACCUGAAGAAUAAGCACCGGCUAACUACGUGCCAGCAGCCGCCGUAA
rnacentral:rRNA from 1 species